rnacentral:rRNA from 1 species
UACGAAGGGUGCAAGCGUUACUCGGAAUUACUGGGCGUAAAGCGCACGUAGGCGGCUUCUUAAGUCGGUGGUGAAAUCCUGGAGCUCAACUCCAGAACUGCCUUCGAUACUGGGAGCUCGAGUCCGGGAGAGGUGAGUGGAACUGCGAGUGUAGAGGUGAAAUUCGUAGAUAUUCGCAAGAACACCAGUGGCGAAGGCGGCUCACUGGCCCGGUACUCGACGCUGAGGUGCGAAAGCGUGGGGAGCAAACAGGG